rnacentral:rRNA from 1 species
UACGGAGGGUGCGAGCGUUGUCCGGAAUCACUGGGCGUAAAGGGCGCGUAGGCGGCUUGGGAAGUCUGUGGUGAAAGCUCGUGGCUCAACUGCGAGUCGGCCAUAGAUACUCCUAAGCUCGAGUCGACUAGAGGCAGAUGGAAUUCCGGGUGUAGCGGUGGAAUGCGUAGAGAUCCGGAAGAACACCGGUGGCGAAGGCGGUCUGCUGGGCAGUUGCUGACACUGAGGCGCGACGAGCGUGGGGAGCAAACAGG